rnacentral:rRNA from 1 species
UACGUAGGGUGCAAGCGUUGUCCGGAAUUAUUGGGCGUAAAGAGCUCGUAGGCGGUUUGUCGCGUCUGGUGUGAAAAUCUAGGGCUUAACCCUGGACCUGCAUCGGGUACGGGCAGACUAGAGUGCGGUAGGGGAGAUCGGAACUCCUGGUGUAGCGGUGAAAUGCGCAGAUAUCAGGAGGAACACCGGUGGCGAAGGCGGAUCUCUGGGCCGUAACUGACGCUGAGGAGCGAAAGCAUGGGGAGCGAACAGG